rnacentral:rRNA from 1 species
UACCAGCACCCCGAGUGGUCGGGACGUUUAUUGGGCCUAAAGCAUCCGUAGCCGGUUCUACGAGUCUUCCGUUAAAUCCACCUGCUUAACAGAUGGGCUGCGGAAGAUACUAUAGAGCUAGGAGGCGGGAGAGGCAAGCGGUACUCGAUGGGUAGGGGUAAAAUCCGUUGAUCCAUUGAAGACCACCAGUGGCGAAGGCGGCUUGCCAGAACGCGCUCGACGGUGAGGGAUGAAAGCUGGGGGAGCAAACCGG